rnacentral:rRNA from 1 species
AGCGAACGUUUGCGGCGGGCUUAACACAUGCAAGUCGAACGGGCUGUUCCUUCGGGGGCAGUCAGUGGCGCACGGGUGCGUAACACGUAGGUAAUCAACCCUCUGGUUGGGGAUAACACUUCGAAAGGAGUGCUAAUACCCGGUAUGGCGCAGCGGUCUUCGGAUCGCGGCGAGAAAGACCCGCAAGGGUUGCCAGAGGACGAGCCUGCGGCCCAUCAGCUAGUUGGCGAGGUAACGGCUCACCAAGGCGAAGACGGGUAGCUGGUCUGAGAGGAUGAUCAGCCACACUGGAACUGAGACACGGUCCAGACUCCUACGGGAGGCAGCAGUGGGGAAGUAUUGCGCAAUA